GAAAUGCGAUAAGUAAUGUGAAUUGCAGAAUUCAGUGAAUCAUCGAAUCUUUGAACGCACAUUGCGCCCGCCAGUAUUCUGGCGGGCAUGCCUGUCCGAGCGUCAUUUCAACCAUCAAGCCCCCGGGCUUGUGUUGGGGACCUGCGGCUGCCCGCAGGCCCUGAAAACCAGUGGCGGGCUCGCUGUCACACCGAGCGUAGUAGCAAUCACCUCGCUCAGGGCGUGCUGCGGGUUCCGGCCGUUAAACAGCCUUACAAAACCUAAGGUUGACCUCGGAUCAGGUAGGAAGACCCGCUGAACUUAAGC
rnacentral:misc_RNA from 1 species